rnacentral:rRNA from 1 species
CCCUUAGAUGUUCUGGGCCGCACGCGCGCUACACUGACGAAUGCAAUGAGCUUAUAACCUUGGCCGAAAGGUCUGGGUAAUCUCCAAAUUUCGUCGUGAUGGGGAUAGAUUAUUGCAAUUAUUAAUCUUCAACGAGGAAUGCCUAGUAAGCGCAAGUCAUCAGCUUGCGUUGAUUACGUCCCUGCCCUUUGUACACACCGCCCGUCGCUCCUACCGAUUGAAUGGUCCGGUGAAGCGUUCGGACCGUGGCCUUUGGACGGUUCGCCGUCUGUUGGCUGCGGGAAGUUCGUUAAACCUUAUCAUUUAGAGGAAGGAGAANUCGUANCA